CCUACGGGAGGCAGCAGUGGGGAAUAUUGGGCAAUGGACGCAAGUCUGACCCAGCAACGCCGCGUGAAGGAAGAAGGCUUUCGGGUUGUAAACUUCUUUUAAGGGGGAGGAGAAGCAGACGGUACCCCUUGAAUAAGCCACGGCUAACUACGUACCAGCAGCCUCGGCAAUACGUAGGUGGCAAGCGUUGUCCGGAUUUAUUGGGUGUAAAGGGCGUGCAGCGGGAAAGACAAGUCAGAUGUGAAAUCCACGGGCUCAACCCGUGAACUGCAUUUGAAACUGUUUCCCUUGAGUGUCGGAGAGGUAAUCGGAAUGCCUGGUGUAGCGGUGAAAUGCGUAGAGAUAAGGAAGAACACCAGUGGCGAAGGCGGAUUACUGGACGAUAACUGACGGUGAGGCGCGAAAGCGUGGGGAGCAAACAGGAUUAGAUACCCGUGUAGUC
rnacentral:rRNA from 1 species